GAUUAACGCUGGCGGCGUGCCUAAUACAUGCAAGUCGAACGGAGAACUUUGUAGCAAUACAGGUUCUUAGUGGCGAACGGGUGAGUAACGCGUUGGUGACCUGCCCCGAAGCGUGGGAUAACUCCGGGAAACUGGAGCUAAUACCCCAUAUGGUCAUGAGGAUUAGAUGCCUCAUGUCUAAAGGAGCAAUCCGCUUUGGGAGGGGCCUGCGUCCCAUCAGCUAGUUGGUAGGGUAAUGGCCUACCAAGGCUUCGACGGGUAGGGGGCCUGAGAGGGUGACCCCCCA
rnacentral:rRNA from 1 species